GUAGGUGGCAAGCGUUGUCCGGAAUUAUUGGGCGUAAAGCGCGCGCAGGCGGUUCGUUUAAGUCUGAUGUGAAAGCCCACGGGCUCAACCGUGGAGGGUCAUUGGAAACUGGAGAACUUGAGUACAGAACGGGGAAAGCGGAAUUCCACGUGUAGCGGUGAAAUGCGUAGAGAUGUGGAGGAACACCAGUGGCGAAGGCGGCUUUCUGGUCUGUAACUGACGCUGAGGCGCGAAAGCGUGGGGAGCAAACAGGAUUAGAUACCCUGGUAGUCCACGCCGUAAACGAUGAGUGCUAAGUGUUCGGGGGGGUUUCCGCCCCUUAGUGCUGCAGCUAACGCAUUAAGCACUCCGCCUGGGGAGUACGGCCGCAAAGGCUG
rnacentral:rRNA from 1 species